GAUUAACUCAGCGGAGGCUUAAAAGGGAGUCAAGGUCCACAGCACAGCCCCAUCAUUGUGGGGACGUGGAGCUGGUGGGAUCACACCAUGGCCUGGGUCCCUCUCCUCCUUGUGGUGCUCGCCCACACCUCAGGUUCUCUGGUCCAGGCAGCGCUGACUCAGCCGUCUUCAUUGUCUCACAGGGUGGGAGACACCGUCAAGAUCACCUGCUCUGGCAGCAGCUACAACUGGUAUGGCUGGUACCAGCAGAAGGUCCCUGGCAGUGCCCUUGUCACUGUGAUCUAUGCUAACAGCAACACACCCUUGAACAUCCCUUCACGAUUCUCCGGAUCCUUGUCGGGCUCCACGGCCACAUUGACCAUCACUGGGGUCCAAGCUGAGGACGAGGCUGUCUAUUUCUGUGGUGGCUGGGAGAGCAGCAGUAGUGCUGGUAUAUUCGGGACCGGGACCAUGUUGACCGUCAAAGGUGAGUCGCCAAUUUCUUCUCGGUCUUUCCUUCCCUGGUGCGAAAUUGUGACAUUUUGUCGAUUUUUGGUGAUUUGGGUUUCUUUUGUAGGACUUGGCACUGGGCUGGGGUCUGUCGCCCCUUUGGGGACGGGCACAAAGCGCAGUGUUUUGGGCUGGGUCUUGUCCCUGUGGACUUUGAGGACUCCGGCGUGCGCCACGAACGAUUGGGGGGUAUUUUCUGACAUGAAAGAUCUUAAAAUUUGCCCAGGAAAUAUGUCUGAGGUCUCAGGAAAAGGAAAACUUGGGUUUAGGUCUCUAAAAGAGACAAUUUUUGUCUUUAUUAAAGAAAUUUUUCAUCCUAAAAUCUAA